rnacentral:rRNA from 1 species
AUUGAACGCUGGCGGCAGGCCUAACACAUGCAAGUCGAGCGGAGCGGCGGACGGGUGAGUAAUGCCUAGGAAUCGGCCUGGUAGUGGGGGAUAACGUCCGGAAACGGGCGCUAAUACCGCAUACUAUCAGAUGAGCCUAGGUCGGAUUAGCUAGUUGGUGGGGUAAAGGCCUACCAAGGCGACGAUCCGUAACUGGUCUGAGAGGAUGAUCAGUAACACUGAAACUGAGACACGGUCCAGCCUCCUACGGGAGCCAGCAGUGGGAAAUAUUGGCCAAGGGGCGAAGGCCUGAUCCACCCAUGCCGCGUGUGUGAAGAAGGUCUUCGGAUUGUAAAUCACUUUAAGUUGGGAGACGUUACCAACAGAAUAAGCACCGGCUAACUUCGUGCCAGCAGCCGCGGUAUAC